AGUGAACGCUGGCGGUAGGCCUAACACAUGCAAGUCGAACGGCAGCACAGUAAGAGCUUGCUCUUACGGGUGGCGAGUGGCGGACGGGUGAGGAAUACAUCGGAAUCUACUUUUUCGUGGGGGAUAACGUAGGGAAACUUACGCUAAUACCGCAUACGACCUACGGGUGAAAGCAGGGGAUCUUCGGACCUUGCGCGAUUGAAUGAGCCGAUGUCGGAUUAGCUAGUUGGCGGGGUAAAGGCCCACCAAGGCGACGAUCCGUAGCUGGUCUGAGAGGAUGAUCAGCCACAAUGGAACUGAGACCAGGUCCAGACUCCUAAGGGAGGGAGCAGUGGGGAAUAUUGGAACAUGGGGGGAAGCCUGAUCCAGCCCUACCGCGUGGGUGAAGAAGGCCUUCGGGUUGUAAAACCCUUUUGUUGGGAAAGAAAAGCAGCAGGUUAAUACCCCGCUGUUCUGACGGUACCCAAAGAAUAAGCACCGGCUAACUUCGUG
rnacentral:rRNA from 1 species